rnacentral:misc_RNA from 1 species
GAUGAAGAACGUUAGCGAAAUGCGAUAAGUAAUGUGAAUUGCAGAAUUCAGUGAAUCAUCGAAUCUUUGAACGCACAUUGCGCCCGUCAGUAUUCUGGCGGGCAUGCCUGUUCGAGCGUCAUUACGCCCCUCAAGUCCCCUGUGGACUUGGUGUUGGGGAUCGGCGAGGCUGGUUUUCCAGCACAGCCGUCCCUUAAAUUAAUUGGCGGUCUCGCCGUGGCCCUCCUCUGCGCAGUAGUAAAACACUCGCAACAGGAGCCCGGCGCGGUCCACUGCCGUAAAACCCCCCAACUUUUUAUAGUUGACCUCGAAUCAGGUAGGACUACCCGCUGAACUUAAGCAUAUCAAUAAGCGGAGGA